UGUUAAGGUGGCAGAGCCCGGUAAUUGCAAAAGGCCUAAGCCCUUUCAACAGAGGUUCAAGUCCUCUCCUCAACU
rnacentral:tRNA from 1 species